rnacentral:rRNA from 1 species
GACGAACGCUGGCGGCGUGCUUAACACAUGCAAGUCGAACGGAAAGGCCCUGCUUUUGUGGGGUGCUCGAGUGGCGAACGGGUGAGUAACACGUGAGUAACCUGCCCUUGACUUUGGGAUAACUUCAGGAAACUGGGGCUAAUACCGGAUAGGAGCUCCUGCUGCAUGGUGGGGGUUGGAAAGUUUCGGCGGUUGGGGAUGGACUCGCGGCUUAUCAGCUUGUUGGUGGGGUAGUUGCUUACCAAGGCUUUGACGGGUAGCCGGCCUGAGAGGGUGACCGGCCACAUUGGGACUGAGAUACGGACCAGACUCCUACGGGAGGCAGCAGUGGGGAAUAUUGCACAAUGGGCGGAAGCCUGAUGCAGAAACGCCGCGUGCGGGAUGACGGCCUUCGGGUUGUAAACCGCUUUCGCCUGUGACGAAGCGUGAGUGACGGUAAUGGGUAAAGAAGCACCGGCUAACUACGUG